AUUGAACGCUGGCGGCAGGCUUAACACAUGCAAGUCGAACGAGUGGCGGACGGGUGAGUAAUGUCUGGGAAACUGCCUGAUGGGGGGGGAUAACUACUGGAAAAGGUAGCUAAUACCGCAUACCAUCAGAUGUGCCCAGAUGGGAUUAGCUUGUUGGUGGGGUAACGGCUCACCAAGGCGACGAUCCCUAGCUGGGCUGAGAGGAUGACCGGCACCAGUGGAAUGGGGCCAGGGCCCAGACUCCUACGGGAGGAAGCGGUGGGAAAUAUUGCACAAUGGGCGCAGGCCUGAUGUAGACAUGCCGCGUGUAUGAAGAAGGCCUUGGGGUUGUAAGGUACUUUCAGCGGGGAGGCGUUACCCGAAGAAGAAGCACCGGCUAACUCCGUGCCAGCCGCCGCGGUAAUUC
rnacentral:rRNA from 1 species